GAUGAAGAACGCAGCGAAAUGCGAUAAGUAAUGUGAAUUGCAGAAUUCAGUGAAUCAUCGAAUCUUUGAACGCACCUUGCACCCUUUGGUAUUCCGAAGGGUAUGCUCGUUUGAGUGUCAUUGUACUCUCACACUUCUAAUUCCUUUCGGGAUUGGGAGCGGUGGACUUGGGUGUUGCUGCUUUAGUUGUGGCUCACCUCAAAUAAGUUAGUGCAACUCUUGGUUGGACAUAGUACGGCGUGAUAAGUGUCUUCGCCGGCGCCUCUGUAAGGAGGGUGGCCGAUCGGGAGCUCUGUGCUUCAAACCGUCUUCGGACAACAACUGACAACUUGACCUCAAAUCGAGUAGGACCACCCGCUGAACUUAAGCAUAUCAAUAAGCGGAGGA
rnacentral:misc_RNA from 1 species